GUGUUAGUGUUUCUGAGACUGUUACAGAAGGUGCAGUUAGUUCUACUCCUCACAGAUCGGUAGAUUGAAACAGAUCUUUGGUUUUGCCUUUGCUGACUGCUGAUCUGAUCGUCUCAAGUCUGACUGCUGAUCUGAUCGUCUCAAGUCUGGUGACCUGCUGCAGAAGCUCUCUCCCUCUAUCAUUAACAAGCCAUUCAGUCUGUCCUAUCACUCUCCCCACUCUAUCUAUUUUGACAAGCCGUUCUAUCUUGCUUCACUCUAUCCCACAAGCUCUAAGUUAUCAAAAAUCACGUUUUUAACUGGAAUCCAAUUUUGACUGGAAUCAAGUUUUGACUGGAAUAAUCAAGUUUUGACAUGGCCCCAUUUUUGGGAAAUUGAAGUUACCAGUACUUCAUCUAUCUGUUACAGAAUUCUGAGAGAUCUCUGCUCUCACUGCUCCUUCUUUCCUAUCGUUAAACUCUCUCACAUCCAGUCUUUUUGCUGGAAAUUACAAGUAGAAAGUUGAAAUUACAAGAGUAGAAUUACAGUACAGUAGGAACUACUUACACAGCCCUAGAUUUAUUUAAAUCUAUACUUGGAACACUUUAGAAUAAACACUGAUAGUUUGGCUUAAAGGUGCAAUUACUUUGAUACAUUAUAUAAAAUUUACACCUUCUUUAAGGUUUUUGUAAUAAAAUAAACUUAUUUUGUAACACAUACAUUCAGACUGC
ensembl:lncRNA